ACAUGAAAGCAUUCUUUCUCACAAGUCCUGGCAGGGUCAAAGAGAGAAUAGCACAAUGGUGCUGGAUACACAACAAAAGCCUGUAGUUUUUCUUUUCUGAUCCUAAAGUUUACAUUCUGUGUGAAAUCUCAAAAACAUUCAUUUACACAAUGUGCAGAUUCAGAGGUGCUAUAGCACCUUUUAAGAGCUUUAUCAACUUUUCUUAUGGUAUGUUUCCUGCUUAUUUCUUUCUAAUCACAGGAAUUGCUUAAAGUACUCAUAUUAUCCUUUUUGGCUUUUUCCCUUUCCUUUAUUGUGUUAUAUAGCCUACCUUUUUGUGCACGUUAUAGGU